UGAUGUUUGCAUACCUCUCCGCCGUAUUCGCAUUCUAGGGUGAAGAAGAUGGAUUUUAUCGGUAGGCUACAGAUGCUGAUAUUCGAAUUGAUAACAAUAGAGGAACUAUGUGACUGAGUAUCAGUGCUGGGAAUCCUCGCACCCACAGACUCUUUAAAAAAAACUUUUUCGGCGGCAGAUUAAAAGGCGGGAGUUUGAACUUUAUUCUUGAAGAAUUUUUUGGACACGUUCAGAAUAUGUCUUACGGGAUCUAUUUUUCCAAGGGUUAUUAACAAAAGUCUUGCUCCAGAAGGAAACCAUUGAAAUGAGUCGAAUGAUUGCUGUCGUCAUACAGUGUUACUCCGUCAGUCAAGGAUUGGAUCUGCAUCCAGACUUGAUCGCCGGCUGCCAGGUUCAACGUUGAUUGAAGUGUCACUGGACUCGGUUGAUUAGGUUUACGCUUAGAGUUUCAAGGAUGGAAAAAGCACCUCCCUGGAAAUGAGCCCCCGAAGUCCCGUGAAGGUGAAGAAAUAAGUUCCUUUGACUGGCGCCGUAAAUAUUCUCGUAGCUGCAUCCAUAUGGCGUUUCUGGUGUUGAUCACUUCAACCUCGAAGGGAAUUUGUGUGCCCACUGUCGAAAACGGCGUGUCUUUCUAGUUUUAGGGAAAUUGGGAGAUUAAGCUGAUGACCUUAUUACUUGGCCCAUUUGAUGGUUGUGUGAAGUUGCAGUAAACCAUUUCAACUUGUUGAGUUCCCAAGACGGAAUAGAGUCCGCUUUUCCUGUAUCCAAUAGCUCUCAAUUCUGCACAGGAACUAGGAAUUUUCCCUAUUGAAUCGCCGACAUCCGCAUUGCAAUGGCACGAAUACGCUGUCAAAUAACCAAUUAAACUUCAUCUUAAUUGGAGGUAAAAAUGAAGUGGUCUCACCGUUAAAUCUGGAUGUCAAACUCUCUAUUUGCCGCUAUUUGCCCUUUUAAAUUCUCGACUGUCUUGGCUGUUUCUUCCAAUCGUUGCGUAUAGUCGAUGCCAAAACCUGCGCAGAUUCUUGCUGGACUUGGUGGGAAUGCCAAUUUGCUGUGUUAAUAUUCUCACGAUGCUUUUUCAACUUCUUCGCCCAAAAUUCGGCAAUCAAGGACAAAAUUUCUCGGUGAAACCAGGUUAUAAUGUGUGAGCGAGGGGUGGCCGACUCUUUUUCCCGUGUUGCACUCGUCGGGAAAAAUGGGAAAAAUUAGGGAAAAAUAGGAAAAAAACAGAAAAUUCUAGUGGAUACUCUUUAUUUGCUUUGAAAAACCGGGAAAAUUUUUUCCCGUUUUUUCCCAAAUUGCACUUGUAAAAAGAGUCGGCCACCCCUCGUGUUGUGAGUGAUGUAUAUCAGACGGGAAACUCGAGACGUGUCAACCGUUUUCUCGUUUGAUAAUGGACUGACUACAAGAUAAUCAGGAUCCUUAUCGGAACGAUUGUAAUUCCAAUCGGCCAUUAACUGAGCGGAGACGACGAAAGUCAGGACGAAGAAAACAGCGACAAACUUAAAUGUGUUGUUGCGUGUAUGGGGUUGGGGGGUGAUUGUAUGGGCGAUUGUUGAGUGCCGAAUGAACAGAAUUCGAAAAAGAGACGGUCCUUUAUAUUUCUUUUUUUAUUUUCGGUCGACUGCCCCAACCAAAUCAGCUCAUAUUCAAACGGAUCACAGCCAGCAUGACUAAAGAUGUUCUUGAUCGGGGGUAUUUGCAUGUCUCAACAGUAUCCGCAUUCUAGGGUGAAGAUGGCUUGUACCGGUACAGGUAAAUACAACAUACCUUACACUUGCUUGAGCAAUUCUGCGUAACGAUCACGAAGCUAAACAAUUUCUUACGUAACAUUCUUCCCGAUUAUACCGAGCGACUAUUUCUUGUAAGAUGUUGAAAACUGAUAAGAGUAACGGAAUUAUUUGCCUUAUCAUCAAUGCCGGGAUUUCUCGUAUUUAGCCUUUGUAGUACUACUUGAGGUAUAUGUGGAGCGGCUUACAUAAUAAAUUUAGUCUACUUUUAUCUUAGAAGUACUGUACAGUCACAAGUGACCUAUCUAAGCAAAUCAAAUUCCUUCUUCAACAUUCUCCGCUCAAAUAUGCUCGCAUGAUUUCGCCAACUUGACAUUGAUCCCAUUAUGCGCCGGAUGACUGGGCGCUUUACCCUAUGCUGUAAUAUCUUACCAUAUAAAUAAUAAUUUUAUAUUUUAGCAAAUAACAUUUCUAAUGAAUGAACAAUGAUCUUCAAUACAUGAUGGAUACAGUCU